rnacentral:antisense_RNA from 1 species
AAGAGCACGACAUUGCUCACAUUGCUUCCAGUAUUUUUUCAGCCCACCUUGAGUGGGCUUUUUUUU